CAUUCUGUUCCAUGAGACUCUGGACCAGACCACCGCGAGCAGACAGCUGGACUUCAUGUGCGUUAUUGGUGAAAUGACCAGGUCCCGUCAGGAUCCUCUGGAGCUCAUGGGCCAUGACACGCCCAGGACCUACUUCAGCACCUCAAAGAGAAUGGACCAAAUGUCAACUGGAAGUUUUUAUAUUAAUACAGUUUGAAAAGGAUUGUUUUCCUAGUAUAUUCACAAAAGCUCAGGAGUAGACAUGAACCUGUGCACAAACAUCCAUCACAUAGAGACAUAACACACACACAUACAUUCUAUUAUGUAAAUGAAUUUGCAUUUUAAAAGCAGCUGGAAUUGUUAUUUUAUAGAUUUUUUUGUUCAAAAGGAACUAUGUUGCCUGUAUUUUUAAAAUAUAUUUACUUGAUAUAAGCAUUUGUUCAUGGGACUUAAAUGUUCUGAAAAUUUAUUAAUAAAUAUAAUUUACAACAGCAA